AGGAGCAACAGCCCUAGUGGCGGGGCCAGCUCUGCAGCCUUGGAUUCAGCUCGGGCAAGAACUCCAGAGCUCUCCGUCUGCAGGGCCUGGAGGCUCCGGGGCGGG
rnacentral:pre_miRNA from 1 species